rnacentral:rRNA from 1 species
AGCGUAGACGGAAUGGCAAGUCUGAUGUGAAAGGCCGGGGCUCAACCCCGGGACUGCAUUGGAAACUGUCGAUCUAGAGUACCGGAGGGGUAAGUGGAAUUCCUAGUGUAGCGGUGAAAUGCGUAGAUAUUAGGAGGAACACCAGUGGCGAAGGCGGCUUACUGGACGGUAACUGACGUUGAGGCUCGAAAGCGUGGGGAGCAAACA